UUAAGUUAUUAAGGGCGCACGGUGGAUGCCUUGGCACUAGAAGCCGAUGAAGGACGUUACUAACGACGAUAUGCUUUGGGGAGCUGUAAGUAAGCUUUGAUCCAGAGAUUUCCGAAUGGGGAAACCCAGCAUGAGUUAUGUCAUGUUAUCGAUAUGUGAAUACAUAGCAUAUCAGAAGGCACACCCGGAGAACUGAAACAUCUUAGUACCCGGAGGAAGAGAAAGAAAAUUCGAUUCCCUUAGUAGCGGCGAGCGAAAUGGGAAGAGCCCAAACCAACAAGCUUGCUUGUUGGGGUUGUAGGACACUCUAUACGGAGUUACAAAGGACGACAUUAGACGAAUCAUCUGGAAAGAUGAAUCAAAGAAGGUAAUAAUCCUGUAGUCGAAAAUGUUGUCUCUCUUGAGUGGAUCCUGAGUACGACGGAGCACGUGAAAUUCCGUCGGAAUCUGGGAGGACCAUCUCCUAAGGCUAAAUACUCUCUAGUGACCGAUAGUGAACCAGUACCGUGAGGGAAAGGUGAAAAGCACCCCGGAAGGGGAGUGAAAUAGAACCUGAAACCGUGUGCUUACAAGUAGUCAGAGCCCGUUAAUGGGUGAUGGCGUGCCUUUUGUAGAAUGAACCGGCGAGUUACGAUUUGAUGCAAGGUUAAGCAGUAAAUGUGGAGCCGUAGCGAAAGCGAGUCUGAAUAGGGCGUUUAGUAUUUGGUCGUAGACCCGAAACCAGGUGAUCUACCCUUGGUCAGGUUGAAGUUCAGGUAACACUGAAUGGAGGACCGAACCGACUUACGUUGAAAAGUGAGCGGAUGAACUGAGGGUAGCGGAGAAAUUUCAAUCGAACCUGGAGAUAGCUGGUUCUCUCCGAAAUAGCUUUAGGGCUAGCCUCAAGUGAUGAUUAUUGGAGGUAGAGCACUGUUUGGACGAGGGGCCCCUCUCGGGUUACCGAAUUCAGACAAACUCCGAAUGCCAAUUAAUUUAACUUGGGAGUCAGAACAUGGGUGAUAAGGUCCGUGUUCGAAAGGGAAACAGCCCAGACCACCAGCUAAGGUCCCAAAAUAUAUGUUAAGUGGAAAAGGAUGUGGCGUUGCCCAGACAACUAGGAUGUUGGCUUAGAAGCAGCCAUCAUUUAAAGAGUGCGUAAUAGCUCACUAGUCGAGUGACACUGCGCCGAAAAUGUACCGGGGCUAAACAUAUUACCGAAGCUGUGGAUUGUCCUUUGGACAAUGGUAGGAGAGCGUUCUAAGGGCGUUGAAGCAUGAUCGUAAGGACAUGUGGAGCGCUUAGAAGUGAGAAUGCCGGUGUGAGUAGCGAAAGACGGGUGAGAAUCCCGUCCACCGAUUGACUAAGGUUUCCAGAGGAAGGCUCGUCCGCUCUGGGUUAGUCGGGUCCUAAGCUGAGGCCGACAGGCGUAGGCGAUGGAUAACAGGUUGAUAUUCCUGUACCACCUAUAAUCGUUUUAAUCGAUGGGGGGACGCAGUAGGAUAGGCGAAGCGUGCGAUUGGAUUGCACGUCUAAGCAGUAAGGCUGAGUAUUAGGCAAAUCCGGUACUCGUUAAGGCUGAGCUGUGAUGGGGAGAAGACAUUGUGUCUUCGAGUCGUUGAUUUCACACUGCCGAGAAAAGCCUCUAGAUAGAAAAUAGGUGCCCGUACCGCAAACCGACACAGGUAGUCAAGAUGAGAAUUCUAAGGUGAGCGAGCGAACUCUCGUUAAGGAACUCGGCAAAAUGACCCCGUAACUUCGGGAGAAGGGGUGCUCUUUAGGGUUAACGCCCAGAAGAGCCGCAGUGAAUAGGCCCAAGCGACUGUUUAUCAAAAACACAGGUCUCUGCUAAACCGUAAGGUGAUGUAUAGGGGCUGACGCCUGCCCGGUGCUGGAAGGUUAAGAGGAGUGGUUAGCUUCUGCGAAGCUACGAAUCGAAGCCCCAGUAAACGGCGGCCGUAACUAUAACGGUCCUAAGGUAGCGAAAUUCCUUGUCGGGUAAGUUCCGACCCGCACGAAAGGCGUAACGAUUUGGGCACUGUCUCAACGAGAGACUCGGUGAAAUCAUAGUACCUGUGAAGAUGCAGGUUACCCGCGACAGGACGGAAAGACCCCGUGGAGCUUUACUGUAGCCUGAUAUUGAAAUUCGGCACAGCUUGUACAGGAUAGGUAGGAGCCUUUGAAACGUGAGCGCUAGCUUACGUGGAGGCGCUGGUGGGAUACUACCCUAGCUGUGUUGGCUUUCUAACCCGCACCACUUAUCGUGGUGGGAGACAGUGUCAGGCGGGCAGUUUGACUGGGGCGGUCGCCUCCUAAAAGGUAACGGAGGCGCUCAAAGGUUCCCUCAGAAUGGUUGGAAAUCAUUCAUAGAGUGUAAAGGCAUAAGGGAGCUUGACUGCGAGACCUACAAGUCGAGCAGGGUCGAAAGACGGACUUAGUGAUCCGGUGGUUCCGCAUGGAAGGGCCAUCGCUCAACGGAUAAAAGCUACCCCGGGGAUAACAGGCUUAUCUCCCCCAAGAGUUCACAUCGACGGGGAGGUUUGGCACCUCGAUGUCGGCUCAUCGCAUCCUGGGGCUGUAGUCGGUCCCAAGGGUUGGGCUGUUCGCCCAUUAAAGCGGUACGCGAGCUGGGUUCAGAACGUCGUGAGACAGUUCGGUCCCUAUCCGUCGUGGGCGUAGGAAAUUUGAGAGGAGCUGUCCUUAGUACGAGAGGACCGGGAUGGACAUACCUCUGGUGUACCAGUUGUCGUGCCAACGGCAUAGCUGGGUAGCUAUGUGUGGACGGGAUAAGUGCUGAAAGCAUCUAAGCAUGAAGCCCCCCUCAAGAUGAGAUUUCCCAACUUCGGUUAUAAGAUCCCUCAAAGAUGAUGAGGUUAAUAGGUUCGAGGUGGAAGCAUGGUGACAUGUGGAGCUGACGAAUACUAAUCGAUCGAAGACUUAAUCAA
rnacentral:rRNA from 1 species